rnacentral:lncRNA from 1 species
CUCACCUCAGGUGGGGACUGGGCUUGGCUCCCUUGGCUUCAGCCUCUCCAGCAGCAGUUCAGUGGAAGGAAGCUCUGUGGAUACACCUCAGAUCCUCCAGCAGGCACCCUGACCGAACUACAAUGCAGUGCUUACUUGAUAAUGACAUCACUUGUCUCUAUGCUCAGAUGGUUUCAUGAGACAAAGCACAAGAAAACAAAGUUCCAGGAUACAUUGGCCACCCCUACCAUACUCCCUUCCCACCUUGUCUACAUGUUCUCUUUUUUCUUAAUUUUUUCAAGGAACUAUGGAAAAGUAUUUGAGCCUACUUUCUCUCCCUUAACUUUCACCAUGUCUUAAUACAAAUGAAAAUUUCACUUUCAUCACCAAAGGCUGAUAGAGUUUAUUAUUUUUUAAUAAUUAAAAUGAAAAUAUCAUGCAUAAGCAACAGUUCUGUAGGUAUUAGGUGUUCGAAAUUAUAAUUAAUGGUGCUAUUGUUUGAGGCCGUUUUGAACUUAAUAACUCAUCAUCAUCAUCAUCAUCACCAUCAACCUCAUCAUCACCAUCUCCAUCGCCAUCUCCAUCACCAUCACCACCACCAUCACCACCAUCACCAUCACCACCAUCACCAUCACCACCAUCACCAUCAUCAUCACCAUUAUCACCAUCACCAUUACCAUCAUCAUCACCACCAUCACCAUGAUCAUCAUCAUCACCAUCACCAUCAUCAUCACAAGGCAAAAAUGGCACAGCGGAAGGGCAUGGGUUUUGGAGUGGAAAUGACACUUAUCC